GAUGAACGCUGGCGGCGUGCCUAAUACAUGCAAGUCGAGCGAACUUUUGGGAGCUUGCUCCCAAAAGUUAGCGGCGGACGGGUGAGUAACACGUGGGUAACCUGCCUGUAAGACUGGGAUAACUUCGGGAAACCGGAGCUAAUACCGGAUAACAUUGAAGGCCACAUGGCCUUCAAUUAAAAGGUGGCUUUUAGCUACCACUUACAGAUGGACCCGCGGCGCAUUAGCUAGUUGGUGAGGUAACGGCUCACCAAGGCGACGAUGCGUAGCCGACCUGAGAGGGCGAUCGGCCACACUGGGACUGAGACACGGCCCAGACUCCUACGGGAGGCAGCAGUAGGGAAUCUUCCGCAAUGGACGAAAGUCUGACGGAGCAACGCCGCGUGAGCGAAGAAGGCCUUCGGGUCGUAAAGCUCUGUUGUUAGGGAAGAACAAGUAUCGUUCGAAUAGGGCGGUACCUUGACGGUACCUAACCAGAAAGCCACGGCUAACUACGUG
rnacentral:rRNA from 1 species